GCCCGGGUGGCGGAACUGGCAGACGCGCACGUUUGAGGGGCGUGUCCCGCAAGGGGUACGAGUUCAAGUCUCGUCCCGGGCACCA
rnacentral:tRNA from 1 species